GGUUAAGCGACUAAGCGUACACGGUGGAUGCCCUGGCAGUCAGAGGCGAUGAAGGACGUGCUAAUCUGCGAUAAGCGUCGGUAAGGUGAUAUGAACCGUUAUAACCGGCGAUUUCCGAAUGGGGAAACCCAGUGUGUUUCGACACACUAUCAUUAACUGAAUCCAUAGGUUAAUGAGGCGAACCGGGGGAACUGAAACAUCUAAGUACCCCGAGGAAAAGAAAUCAACCGAGAUUCCCCCAGUAGCGGCGAGCGAACGGGGAGCAGCCCAGAGCCUGAAUCAGUGUGUGUGUUAGUGGAAGCGUCUGGAAAGGCGCGCGAUACAGGGUGACAGCCCCGUACACAAAAAUGCACAUAUUGUGAGCUCGAUGAGUAGGGCGGGACACGUGGUAUCCUGUCUGAAUAUGGGGGGACCAUCCUCCAAGGCUAAAUACUCCUGACUGACCGAUAGUGAACCAGUACCGUGAGGGAAAGGCGAAAAGAACCCCGGCGAGGGGAGUGAAAAAGAACCUGAAACCGUGUACGUACAAGCAGUGGGAGCACGCUUCGGCGUGUGACUGCGUACCUUUUGUAUAAUGGGUCAGCGACUUAUAUUCUGUAGCAAGGUUAACCGAAUAGGGGAGCCGAAGGGAAACCGAGUCUUAACUGGGCGUUAAGUUGCAGGGUAUAGACCCGAAACCCGGUGAUCUAGCCAUGGGCAGGUUGAAGGUUGGGUAACACUAACUGGAGGACCGAACCGACUAAUGUUGAAAAAUUAGCGGAUGACUUGUGGCUGGGGGUGAAAGGCCAAUCAAACCGGGAGAUAGCUGGUUCUCCCCGAAAGCUAUUUAGGUAGCGCCUCGUGAAUUCAUCUCCGGGGGUAGAGCACUGUUUCGGCAAGGGGGUCAUCCCGACUUACCAACCCGAUGCAAACUGCGAAUACCGGAGAAUGUUAUCAUGGGAGACACACGGCGGGUGCUAACGUCCGUCGUGAAGAGGGAAACAACCCAGACCGCCAGCUAAGGUCCCAAAGUCAUGGUUAAGUGGGAAACGAUGUGGGAAGGCCCAGACAGCCAGGAUGUUGGCUUAGAAGCAGCCAUCAUUUAAAGAAAGCGUAAUAGCUCACUGGUCGAGUCGGCCUGCGCGGAAGAUGUAACGGGGCUAAACCAUGCACCGAAGCUGCGGCAGCGACGCUGAUGCGUUGUUGGGUAGGGGAGCGUUCUGUAAGCCUGCGAAGGUGUGCUGUGAGGCAUGCUGGAGGUAUCAGAAGUGCGAAUGCUGACAUAAGUAACGAUAAAGCGGGUGAAAAGCCCGCUCGCCGGAAGACCAAGGGUUCCUGUCCAACGUUAAUCGGGGCAGGGUGAGUCGACCCCUAAGGCGAGGCCGAAAGGCGUAGUCGAUGGGAAACAGGUUAAUAUUCCUGUACUUGGUGUUACUGCGAAGGGGGGACGGAGAAGGCUAUGUUGGCCGGGCGACGGUUGUCCCGGUUUAAGCGUGUAGGCUGGUUUUCCAGGCAAAUCCGGAAAAUCAAGGCUGAGGCGUGAUGACGAGGCACUACGGUGCUGAAGCAACAAAUGCCCUGCUUCCAGGAAAAGCCUCUAAGCAUCAGGUAACAUCAAAUCGUACCCCAAACCGACACAGGUGGUCAGGUAGAGAAUACCAAGGCGCUUGAGAGAACUCGGGUGAAGGAACUAGGCAAAAUGGUGCCGUAACUUCGGGAGAAGGCACGCUGAUAUGUAGGUGAGGUCCCUCGCGGAUGGAGCUGAAAUCAGUCGAAGAUACCAGCUGGCUGCAACUGUUUAUUAAAAACACAGCACUGUGCAAACACGAAAGUGGACGUAUACGGUGUGACGCCUGCCCGGUGCCGGAAGGUUAAUUGAUGGGGUUAGCGCAAGCGAAGCUCUUGAUCGAAGCCCCGGUAAACGGCGGCCGUAACUAUAACGGUCCUAAGGUAGCGAAAUUCCUUGUCGGGUAAGUUCCGACCUGCACGAAUGGCGUAAUGAUGGCCAGGCUGUCUCCACCCGAGACUCAGUGAAAUUGAACUCGCUGUGAAGAUGCAGUGUACCCGCGGCAAGACGGAAAGACCCCGUGAACCUUUACUAUAGCUUGACACUGAACAUUGAGCCUUGAUGUGUAGGAUAGGUGGGAGGCUUUGAAGUGUGGACGCCAGUCUGCAUGGAGCCGACCUUGAAAUACCACCCUUUAAUGUUUGAUGUUCUAACGUUGACCCGUAAUCCGGGUUGCGGACAGUGUCUGGUGGGUAGUUUGACUGGGGCGGUCUCCUCCUAAAGAGUAACGGAGGAGCACGAAGGUUGGCUAAUCCUGGUCGGACAUCAGGAGGUUAGUGCAAUGGCAUAAGCCAGCUUGACUGCGAGCGUGACGGCGCGAGCAGGUGCGAAAGCAGGUCAUAGUGAUCCGGUGGUUCUGAAUGGAAGGGCCAUCGCUCAACGGAUAAAAGGUACUCCGGGGAUAACAGGCUGAUACCGCCCAAGAGUUCAUAUCGACGGCGGUGUUUGGCACCUCGAUGUCGGCUCAUCACAUCCUGGGGCUGAAGUAGGUCCCAAGGGUAUGGCUGUUCGCCAUUUAAAGUGGUACGCGAGCUGGGUUUAGAACGUCGUGAGACAGUUCGGUCCCUAUCUGCCGUGGGCGCUGGAGAACUGAGGGGGGCUGCUCCUAGUACGAGAGGACCGGAGUGGACGCAUCACUGGUGUUCGGGUUGUCAUGCCAAUGGCACUGCCCGGUAGCUAAAUGCGGAAGAGAUAAGUGCUGAAAGCAUCUAAGCACGAAACUUGCCCCGAGAUGAGUUCUCCCUGACUCCUUGAGAGUCCUGAAGGAACGUUGAAGACGACGACGUUGAUAGGCCGGGUGUGUAAGCGCAGCGAUGCGUUGAGCUAACCGGUACUAAUGAACCGUGAGGCUUAACCUU
rnacentral:rRNA from 1 species